UGCGCAGGCGGCUUCUCAAGUCAGGGGUGAAAGCCCAGAGCUCAACUCUGGAAUUGCCUUUGAGACUGAGUGGCUUGAGUACGGAAGAGGUGAGUGGAAUUCCCAGUGUAGAGGUGAAAUUCGUAGAUAUUGGGAAGAACACCGGUGGCGAAGGCGGCUCACUGGUCCGUAACUGACGCUCAUGCACGACAGCGUGGGGAUCAAACA
rnacentral:rRNA from 1 species